rnacentral:rRNA from 1 species
GAUCAGCAUGCUACGGUGAAUACGUUCCCGGGUCUUGUACACACCGCCCGUCACACCACGAGAGUUUGUAACACCCGAAGCCGGUGGAGUAACCAUUUGGAGCUAGCCGUCGAAGGUGGGACAAAUGAUUGGGGUGAAGUCGUAACAAGGUAGCCGUAUCGGAAGGUGCGGCUGGAUCACCUCCUUUCUAAGGA